CCUACGGGGGGCUGCAGUAAGGAAUAUUCCGCAAUGCGCGAAAGCGUGACGGAGCAAUGCCGCGUGCAGGAUGAAGCAGCUUCGCUGUGUAAACUGCUGUCAGGGGCUACUAACUAUGAAGAGCCUCAGAGGAAGGACCGGCUAAACUCGUGCCAGCAGCCGCGGUAAUACGAGUGGUCCAAGCGUUAGUCGGAAUCACUGGGCUUAAAGGGUGCGUAGGCGGGCCAGAAAGCGUCUUGUGAAAUCCCCCGGCUCAACCGGGGAACAGCAGGGCGAACUACUGGUCUUGAGGAAGGUAGAGGCCGGCAGAACGAUCGGUGGAGCGGUGGAAUGCGUAGAGAUCGAUCGGAAUGCCAAAGGUGAAGACAGCCGGCUGGGCCUUUCCUGACGCUGAGGCACGAAAGCGUGGGGAGCAAACAGGAUUAGAUACCCCUGUAGUC
rnacentral:rRNA from 1 species